rnacentral:rRNA from 1 species
ACAGGACUUGAUGCUGGUCUGCGUUAGUAGACAUGUGCUCAGUUCUGCUCAAUCCAUUCAACACCUGUGCACUUUCAAAGUUGUAGUCCUCCGUCAUGGGAGCUGCGUCUUGUAAUGAGAUGCUGGGACUACGCUUUGCCCAUUAUCACAAACCAAUUUGAAGUCAUGUAGAAUGUUACUAGCCUAAGGGCUUAAUCUAAUACAACUUUCAACAACGGAUCUCUUGGCUCUCGCAUCGAUGAAGAACGCAGCGAAAUGCGAUAAGUAAUGUGAAUUGCAGAAUUCAGUGAAUCAUCGAAUCUUUGAACGCACCUUGCACUCCUUGGUAUUCCGAGGAGUAUGCCUGUUUGAGUGUCUUGUAAUCAUCAAUCUAGCUUUGCUUUUGUGAAGUUGGAUUGGAUUUGGAGACUGCUGGUCUUACGACUGGCUUCUCUUGAAUGCAUUAGUUGGACUGAGUUACAAUGCUACGUGUAGUGUGAUAAUAUCUUCACUGCAUAGUUGUAAUGAAGACUGGCUUCUAACAGUCCUUCGCUGGACAAUACUUGACCAUUAGACCUCAAAUCAGGUAGGACUACCCGCUGAACUUAAGCAUAUCAAUAA